rnacentral:rRNA from 1 species
UACGUAGGGGGCAAGCGUUGUCCGGAUUUAUUGGGCGUAAAGAGCUCGUAGGUGGUCCGUAAGUCAGGUGUGAAACCUCCAGGCUCAACCUGGAGACGCCACUUGAUACUGGAGAGCUUGAGUCCGGAAGAGGUGAGUGGAACUCCGAGUGUAGAGGUGAAAUUCGUAGAUAUUCGGAAGAACACCAGUGGCGAAGGCGGCUCACUGGCCGGUACUGACGCUGAUGUGCGAAAAGCGUGGGGAGCAAACAGGG